CCGGGAAAGAUGGCGAAUUAGGGGGAGCCAUCUCUCCCAGGGCUGAUCCAGACGCAGGAGUUCGGAACCAGACGGAGGAGACCCUAAACCGACGGGCUGGAGAAAAGGGCAUUCAGUCAGCCACUGCGGUCCGAGAGAAGCCCUUCAACCAACCAACCUGCUCCUGGGAGGUCAGCUGUCCUUAGGGAAGCAAGAGCGAAACAAGGGCAUAGUAAAAGGAAAGAGGCUCACCAAAAUCACCGACUGCAACAUUUAAGACCCACAGCCCAGACGCAACAGCAAGGGGUAUGUAAGGUGAAAGCAAGACACAACGGCAAGAGACCUGCAGAACCCCUACCGCCAAAAGCCACACCACACAACCCGAAAGAGGGAUUGACGGGAAAGCCAAAAUGGCCACAACCAAGGGGGAUACUGAAACCACAGAGACCGCCAUGGGCCCAGGAAAUAGUCACACAAUACAACCACACCAGGACCCAGAAGACGUUGACCAGAAAGUUAACAAAACCACCAAAGAAAUGGCUAAACUGAUGAAACAAUUAGAAGAGAUGGUGGCCAAGGUGGAUACUCUCCGAGGCAGCAUUACCUCCUUGGAGAGGAAGAACCAGAUACAAGGAAAGCAUUUACAACAAGUACAUAAAGAAAACAGGGAGCUGAAAAGCAAGCUAGCGGACCUUGAGAAACGCGUAACAGUGGUUUCAAACUCUUCCAAUGCAGCCUUGUGUUAGUGUGUUGUUUACAAUAGAAUAAAACUUGCUAACUGUU